UCCUUAGUCUUCAACAGGGAAAAAUCUAAUAGAAUACAAUAGACAACAAGUUUUAGAUCAACAACUGCAGCGAAAACAACAAUUCAUUAGAAGAGUUAAGUAGAGAAUGUAAUCUACUAUCUUCUAUAUAUGAAUUUAAAAGUCCAUCAUCGAUAUUUUAUCCCUGUAACAUCAAUUAAUAUACAUCUUGAAUCAAAUAGUCAUCUUUUCACUACAG
rnacentral:lncRNA from 1 species